UAGGGAAUCUUCGGCAAUGGACGAAAGUCUGACCGAGCAACGCCGCGUGAGUGAAGAAGGUUUUCGCAUCGUAAAACUCUGUUGUUAGAGAAGAACAAGGAUGAGAGUAGAAUGUUCAUCCCUUGACGGUAUCUAACCAGAAAGCCACGGCUAACUACGUGCCAGCAGCCGCGGUAAUACGUAGGUGGCAAGCGUUGUCCGGAUUUAUUGGGCGAAAAGCGAGCGCAGGCGGUUUCUUAAGUCUGAUGUGAAAGCCGCCGGCCCAACCGGGAAGGGUCAAUGGAAACUGGGAAACUUGAGUGCAGAAGAGGAGGGUGGAAUUCCAUGUGUAGCGGUGAAAUGCGUAGAUAUAUGGGGGGACACCAGUGGAAAAGGCGGCUCUCUGGUCUGAACCUGACGAGGAGGCUCGAAAGCGUGGGGAGCAAACAGG
rnacentral:rRNA from 1 species